GGUCCGCUGGCUCAAUGGCAGAGCGUCUGACUACGACUUGAGUCUUCAACUUCAAGAGUUAUCAGGAGGUUCCAGGUUCGACCCCUGGGUGGAUCG